rnacentral:rRNA from 1 species
CACCGCCCGUCACACCAUGGGAAUUGGGUCUACCCGACGACGGUGCGCCAACCUCGCAAGAGGAAGCAGCCGGCCACGGUAGGCUCAGUGACUGGGGUG